rnacentral:rRNA from 1 species
GGAAUAGCAGCUGGAAACGGCUGAUAAAACCGCAUAAGCGCACAGUGCCGCAUGGCACAGUGUGAAAAACUCCGGUGGUAUGAGAUGGACCCGCGUCUGAUUAGCUGGUUGGCGGGGUAACGGCCCACCAAGGCGACGAUCAGUAGCCGGCCUGAGAGGGUGAUCGGCCACAUUGGGACUGAGACACGGCCCAAACUCCUACGGGAGGCAGCAGUGGGGAAUAUUGCACAAUGGGGGAAACCCUGAUGCAGCGACGCCGCGUGAAGGAAGAAGUAUCUCGGUAUGUAAACUUCUAUCAGCAGGGAAGAUAAUGACGGUACCUGACUAAGAAGCCCCGGCUAACUACGUGCCAGCAGCCGCGGUAAUACGUAGGGGGCAAGCGUUAUCCGGAUUUACUGGGUGUAAAGGGAGCGUAGGCGGCGGAGCAAGUCAGAAGUGAAAGCCCGGGGCUCAACCCCGGGACGGCUUUUGAAACUGCCCUGCUUGAUUUCAGGAGAGGUAAGCGGAAUUCCUAGUGUAGCGGUGAAAUGCGUAGAUAUUAGGAGGAACACCAGUGGCGAAGGCGGCUUACUGGACUGACAAUGACGCUGAGGCUCGAAAGCGUGGGGAGCAAACAGGAUUAGAUACCCUGGUAGUCCACGCCGUAA